ensembl:snRNA U6 U6 spliceosomal RNA
AUGCUCGCUUCGGCAGCACAUGUUCUAAAAUUGGAAUGAUACAGAGAAGAUUAGCAUGGCCCCUGCAAAAGGAUGACACGCAAAUUCAUGACGCUUCCACAUUUUUU